rnacentral:lncRNA from 1 species
UGAUUCCCAAACUAGAGACUUUAUGAUGAGUCGAUUCUUACCUGCAGCAAAAGCUGUUGUUUUGGAGACGCCUCAGUAUGUUCAAAAAAAGCAAGUUCCAGUCAGCAUUGAACAACCGAAGCCAGUACCUGUGGAACGAAAGCCAAUAGUUAAGCGGAUGGAGUCUAUCCCUGUCUCAUAUUAUAGCGGCUAUCCAGACGAUUACUGAACAACCGAAGCCAGUACCCGUGGAACGAAAGCCAAUAGUUAAGCGGAUGGAGUCUAAACCUGUCUCAUAUUAUAGCGGCUAUCCAGACGAUGUAGGAAGUGAAAUUGAAGAUGAUGUGUCUGAGAAUCAGCACAAAAGGCCAAGUAAAGGGUGGAAAUUUUUCCCUCGGAUUUGCGUGAAGAAUUCUUUAUGCCUAUUAAAUC